rnacentral:sRNA from 1 species
GCUAGGUAUGGUGGUGCACGCCUGUAGUCCCAGCUACUGGGGAGGCUGAGGUAGGAGAAUCGUUUGAGCUUGGGAGGUCGAGGUUGGAGUGAGUAGAUGGUGCCACUGCAGUCUAGCCUGGGCAACAGAGUGAGACCCUAUCUCAA